AGGCGGGGUAAACAGCCCGGGCCACAGGGGGGGCUCGCCGGGAAGGCUGUGCUGAGGGGUGAAACACAACCAUCGGGGCUCUUCUACUCGUCCAGUACACAACAAGCUAAAACCUGUGCCGCUCUUGUGUGCGGGCAAGGGCUUGCGUCAGGCGUUUCUGGCUACUGAUAAACAAAGAAUGAGGGGAGCAAAAUAUAUAAGGACCUCCUGAUCUGCUUAAAUCCUCAUUUGGAAUCAAAUGUGUAGCGACAAGGGAGAGAGCUGAGCUUUGUCUCCAUUUUACAUAAUUCUGCAGAAUUUAUCAGUUUGGCUUCUAGGCGGUUGCAGUAAAGGCAAGAGAUUAUCCCAAGGGCUAUUUGAAGAAGACAUCUGGAAGAUGAACAUACACCAUUAGUUUUCCAGUACAGAAAGAGACUGCAGCUCUGUGACCCUCCUUUGUGCCUGAUUUGUGCACUGCUGGAUCAGUUGACUUCACACAAAAAGCCAGCAGGCUUACAGCUGCACCAGGCUGCUUCUUUUGAUGCAUUUUGAUAAUUACAGUAUGAUCCUUUUAAUAGCAUUUUCCUGACUUGUCACCUGAAGUCCCUGAGUCCCAGCCCCUACCCCUUCCCUUUGUGAACCACCUUUGUUACACCCAGGGUCUGUUAUUAAUGACCUCUCUGGGAUGAAUUUCUCAUUUUCAUGCUUAGUCACCGACAUCUACUUCCCCGGAACAACACAGCACGUGAUGGUGCUGACAUCAUGGCUUAUGUGACUGCCCCCAUAGUCACUCCUCAAGCUGCAACAGCACACAGAGUUCCAAAAAUGGGAAAGUUAUUUCUGCUACAUGCAGUGAUGAGAAAGGCUACCAUGUAGCUGAAGGUUUGGCAAGGGCACUUGCUUCUCAGUAUCACUUGCUUCUCUCUUGUGUUCCAAAGGUGCACAUUUCUGUCCUGUGCAGAGGCAGCGUCUGUGAGAAAAACCAGGAUGAUGCACAGAUGGGAAAAUCUGCAGUACAGGGAGGACUUUGAGCAAGGAAAGACAAUGCUGGUGAUUAUCCCUAUGGACCAUAACCUUUGCCUGCUGAGGAAGAUACAUUCAGAUCUGCCAUCUAACAUUUAAGAGUGCUAAUUUCAUGAUGAGUUACAGAGCUUUAACAGGUGCCAUGGGAACAGGCAGUUCUGUUCCUGUCAACACCAGGACUCUCCUGUCUGCAGAGUGAGCUGGUACACAAAGCUAAGCCAGCAAAAGGUAGUGCUGAAAAAGGCAGCAAGCCGACUUCUGAAGGUUUAACUCCAUGAAUACCAGCUUCUAGUGGGAGAAAAACAAGGGUUAGUACUGAAUAAAGAGAGGAAGGGGCAGGAGUGCCCGUUUAAGGAAGAGCUGCUCAUUUUAGUGGUGCAAAACUGCAGUUUAAAAAGCCUCAUCCUUGUAACUGCCAAGCAGUAAUCUCUCUGCAUGGGAACACUGGAUGAAAAGCAUCAAAAGUCAGGAGACAACAAUCCCUCUUCAGGACAUUCCUGUAUCCUAAAAUGUCCUGUGUCCUAAGUCUGUUAGCAGCAAAAAGGUCACAUACUCUUCUCCUCUCAUGGAUUUCUCACGAGGGUCAUGAGCAAGCAUAUCUGUUUCCUACCCUCCAAGUUUUAUGUAAGCAGGCAGGACUAUUUCUCCCUCUGGCUUGAGGUUGUCUGAAGACCACCUAGGCCUUGUUAAUAUUAACGCCACCCAGUAGUGUCCACAUUCAUACAUUCCUGCAGUUCUGGUUGUUGAGAGCCACACAAACAGGCUAAAAUCCUUGCAGUUUAUUAAUCAAGGUGACUAAGUAAAUAUAGUUACUAUUUAGAAGUGAGAGAGCCAUGAGGCAGCAGAAGAUGAAAAUUGAAACAAAGUCUCAGCCAGAUUCCAUUAAUGUCUGCUUGUGGAAAACAGUCGCUAAGGAAUAACUCUUUGCUGUCUCUUCCAAAAAAAAAAAAAAAAAAAAAAAAAAAAAAAAAAAAAAAAGUAAUCAAAUGAAACUAAUGAAGUCCAAGUCAAAACUGUAAAUAGAGGUGGUUCUUCACCAAGUGAUAGUAGAACUCUAGCAUAAGUUGCUGUAGGGUGCUCUGGGUACAAGAGUUUAUAUGGCCUUACCCUACAGACAGUUUUAAACCAGAGAGGAGGAGGAAACAGAGAAAAAAAGGAGCAAGAGAAGAAAACAGAGACUCUGGCUAGAGCUGCUGAAGACCCUCUACAAAACCUGCUGUCCCACAGAUGCACAGUGAAGCUGCUGUAUAAGCCACGUAGCCAGGGACUCAGCACUUUGCCCAGUUCUACAAGACUUCUUGAAUGAGAGCAGAAAUGUAGCUUGCAUCCUCUCCUGCUACUGGGGCCUCCCACCCCUCCUCAUCUCUUGCUGGGAGGGUAUCUCCUGGAAGCUCAGAAGCCUUUUCUUCAGGCUAGGUUGAAUUCAUGUUACAAGGCUGGCCUGAUCAUCCUCUGCUGCUCUGGGCUGUGCUGCUGAGAGGAAGGAAAAUUAACUCCCUGUCUGGUGAAAAAUGCUCUCCAUGACCCUAGCUCUGCUGUCUGACUGAAAUAUGGACAUGAAGCACUGGCUCUGGAAGGCAGCUUCAUGGAAGAGGAGAAGAGUGACUCAGGCAAAAUACUGAUGGGCUCUGCACUCAAAGUGUAACACACUGUGACCAAACUGUAUACACAGGGAAAUUUGAAGUGUUCCUGACAGCUGCACUGGGGCUUCAGUUCUAUUUUGGAUUGUUGUUUGUUUGGUUUUUUUUCCAAAGCUAGAACAAAAUAGGAAGAAAAACAAAAUAAAGAAGAGCAUUUAAAAAAAAUCAUUCCCUAUUUAAAGAAAA